AAUAGAUACCCGGGUAGUCCACGCCGUAAACGAUGAGUGCUAAGUGUUAGGGGGUUUCCGCCCCUUAGUGCUGCAGCUAACGCAUUAAGCACUCCGCCUGGGGGAGUACGGUCGCAAGACUGAAACUCAAAGGAAUUGACGGGGGCCCGCACAAGCGGUGGAGCAUGUGGUUUAAUUCGAAGCAACGCGAAGAACCUUACCAGGUCUUGACAUCCCAUUGACCGCUAUGGAGACAUGGCUUUCCCUUCGGGGACAGUGGUGACAGGUGGUGCAUGGUUGUCGUCAGCUCGUGUCGUGAGAUGUUGGGUUAAGUCCCGCAACGAGCGCAACCCUUGUUCUUAGUUGCCAUCAUUUAGUUGGGCACUCUAAGGAGACUGCCGGUGACAAACCGGAGGAAGGUGGGGAUGACGUCAAAUCAUCAUGCCCCUUAUGACCUGGGCUACACACGUGCUACAAUGGACGGUACAAACGGUUGCCAACCCGCGAGGGGGAGCUAAUCCGAUAAACCGUUCUCAGUUCGGAUUGUAGGCUGCAACUCGCCUAC
rnacentral:rRNA from 1 species